rnacentral:rRNA from 1 species
UACGGAGGAUUCAAGCGUUAUCCGGAUUUAUUGGGUUUAAAGGGUGCGUAGGCGGUCGGAUAAGUUAGAGGUGAAAUCCCGGGGCUCAACUUCGGAAUUGCCUCUGAUACUGUUCGGCUAGAGAGUAGUUGCGGUAGGCGGAAUGUAUGGUGUAACGGUGAAAUGCUUAGAGAUCAUACAGAACACCGAUUGCGAAGGCAGCUUACCAAGCUACUUCUGACGUUGAGGCACGAAAGCGUGGGGAGCAAACAGG